rnacentral:lncRNA from 1 species
CCGGCUCUCCGCUACUUCCAGUCCCCCGAAUCUCUCCACGGGGCUCCCCUGCACGGGCCUCCGCUCUGGAGGCCAAUCUCCGGAUGUUGCCACGGGCUAAGAAGAGUACAAGGAGGAGAACAACAGUCUGCGAAUUCUUCGAUUGUCGAACUGCCACCGAAGGUUCCUGCCGCCUUAAAGGGGGCUCGAGGGAGAAUUUCUUCAACAACAGGGGUUUAAUAACGGGGACAACCGGUGUAGGCAUUCUGCCUGAGAAUUUUAGAGUAGUUGAACGGGGCGACACCGGUCAAGGGGGCGGAGCUGUUAUUACAGGCCGAGGCGGGAUCCUUGAUGUCGUCAGGG